GUUAUACUUCCUCCGUCCCAAAAAGCUUGACUUAGAUUUGUCUAGAUAGAGAUGUAUCUAAACACGUUUUAGUGUUAGAUUCAUCUGUAUCUAGAUAAAUCUAAGACAAAAUUUUUGGGACGGAGGUAAUAGAAC
rfam:Hordeum vulgare subsp. vulgare, WGS project CAJW01000000 data, contig: morex_contig_73513